rnacentral:rRNA from 1 species
GAUGAACGCUGGCGGCGUGCUUAACACAUGCAAGUCGAACGGAAAGGCCCAAGCUUGCUUGGGUACUCGAGUGGCGAACGGGUGAGUAACACGUGGGUGAUCUGCCCUGCACUUCGGGAUAAGCCUGGGAAACUGGGUCUAAUACCGGAUAGGACCACAUUUUGGAUGGUGUGGUGGAAAGUUUUUCGGUGUGGGAUGAGCUCGCGGCCUAUCAGCUUGUUGGUGGGGUAAUGGCCUACCAAGGCGUCGCCGGGUAGCCGGCCGGGGAGGGUGUACGGCCACAUUGGGACUGGGAUACGGCCCAGACUCCUACGGGAGGCAGCAGUGGGGAAUAUUGCACAAUGGGCGCAAGCCUGAUGCAGCGACGCCGCGUGGGGGAUGACGGCCUUCGGGUUGUAAACUCCUUUCGCUAGGGACGAAGCGUUAUGUGACGGUACCUGGAGAAGAAGCACCGGCUAACUACGUG